AGUGAACGCUGGCGGUAGGCCUAACACAUGCAAGUCGAACGGCAGCACAGAGGAGCUUGCUCCUUGGGUGGCGAGUGGCGGACGGGUGAGGAAUACAUCGGAAUCUACUCUGUCGUGGGGGAUAACGUAGGGAAACUUACGCUAAUACCGCAUACGACCUACGGGUGAAAGCAGGGGACCUUCGGGCCUUGCGCGAUUGAAUGAGCCGAUGUCGGAUUAGCGAGUUUGCGGGGUAAAGGUCCACCAGGGCGACGAUCCGCAGCUGGUCUGAGAGGAUGAUCAGCCACACUGGAACUGAGAGACGGGCCAGACUCCUACGGGAGGCAGCAGUGGGGAAUAUUGGACAAUGGGCGCAAGCCUGAUCCAGCCAUACCGCGUGGGUGAAGAAGGCCUUCGGGUUGUAAAGCCCUUUUGUUGGGAAAGAAAUCCAGCUGGCUAAUACCCGGUUGGGAUGACGGUACCCAAAGAAUAAGCACCGGCUAACUUCGUGCCAGCAGCCGCGGUAA
rnacentral:rRNA from 1 species